UACGAAGGGGGGCUAGCGUUGCUCGGAAUCACUGGGCGUAAAGCGCACGUAGGCGGCUUCUUAAGUCAGGGGUGAAAUCCUGGAGCUCAACUCCAGAACUGCCUUUGAUACUGAGAAGCUUGAGUCCGGGAGAGGUGAGUGGAACUGCGAGUGUAGAGGUGAAAUUCGUAGAUAUUCGCAAGAACACCAGUGGCGAAGGUGGCUCACUGGCCCGGUACUGACGCUGAGGUGCGAAAGCGUGGGGAGCAAACAGG
rnacentral:rRNA from 1 species